GUAUGCAAAAUCAAGCCAAAUCAAAACCAUGUCCAGCAGCAAAAUAUUUUUUAAAGGCAGCAGAUUUAGAUACAGUGGAAAAGUUGCAAAAGAAGUUGUUGAAGCAAGUUCAAAGAUCCAGAGGGAGCCUCCAGAAGUGCACAGAACCAACAUUACUCAAAGCCGUAGCUCUUAUUCUUUAAGCAAACAAUUCAUAAUAAAUAUGGAACCUUUGCAACCUCUCCAUCCAUCACCAGAUGA